CGAAAGCCUGACGGAGCAACGCCGCGUGAGGGAUGAAGGCCUCUGGGCUGUAAACCUCUUUUCUCAAGGGAGAAGAUCUGACGGUACUUGAGGAAUAAGCCACGGCUAAUUCCGUGCCAGCAGCCGCGGUAAUACGGGAGUGGCAAGCGUUAUCCGGAAUUAUUGGGCGUAAAGCGUCCGCAGGCGGCCCUGAAAGUCUGUCGUUAAAGCGUGGAGCUUAACUCCAUUUCAGCGAUGGAAACUACAGGGCUUGAGUGUGGUAGGGGCAGAGGGAAUUCCCGGUGUAGCGGUGAAAUGCGUAGAUAUCGGGAAGAACACCAGUGGCGAAGGCGCUCUGCUGGGCCAUAACUGACGCUCAUGGACGAAAGCCAGGGGAGCG
rnacentral:rRNA from 1 species